AUUGAACGCUGGCGGCAGGCCUAACACAUGCAAGUCGAAUGGUAACAGGAAACAGCUUGCUGUUUCGCUGACGAGUGGCGGACGGGUGAGUAAUGUCUGGGAAACUGCCUGAUGGAGGGGGAUAACUACUGGAAACGGUAGCUAAUACCGCAUAACGUCGCAAGACCAAAGAGGGGGACCUUCGGGCCUCUUGCCAUCAGAUGUGCCCAGAUGGGAUUAGCUAGUAGGUGGGGUAACGGCUCACCUAGGCGACGAUCCCUAGCUGGUCUGAGAGGAUGACCGGCCACACUGGAACUGAGACACGGUCCAGACUCCUACGGGAGGCAGCAGUGGGGAAUAUUGCACAAUGGGCGCAAGCCUGAUGCAGCCACGCCGCGUGUAUGAAGAAGGCCUUCGGGUUGUAAAGUACUUUCAGCGGGGAGGAAGGGAGUAAAGUUAAUACCUUUGCUCAUUGACGUUACCCGCAGAAGAAGCACCGGCUAACUCCGUG
rnacentral:rRNA from 1 species